rnacentral:rRNA from 1 species
UACGUAGGGAGCAAGCGUUGUCCGGAAUCAUUGGGCGUAAAGAGCGCGUAGGUGGCUUUAUAAGUCCGUUGUGAAAGUCAAAGGCUCAACCUUUGAAAGCCGAUGGAUACUGUGAAGCUAGAGUACGGAAGAGGCGAGUGGAAUUCCUGGUGUAGCGGUGGAAUGCGCAGAUAUCAGGAGGAACACCAAUAGCGAAGGCAGCUCGCUGGGACGUUACUGACACUGAGGCGCGAAAGCGUGGGGAGCAAACGGG